rnacentral:rRNA from 1 species
GGGUCCGGACACACUGAGGAUUGACAGGCAAAAGAUACAAGUUUUCUUUGUGAGAGCUUGCAUUGUAAAAUAUGCGAGUCCUUUCAUGAUUAUGUGAUAGGUGGUGCAUGGCCGUUCUUAGUUCGUGGAGUGAUCUGUCUGCUUAAUUGCGUUUCACAACGAUUUAAAAUGCUAUGUUUUCUGUGUUUGCUGUUCGGUUUUAGCUCUUACGGGAGUUUUUAACUUUGAACGCACACGGCGUAGCUUAAAACAAUCGGAAAGCAACGAACGUGACCGCAACCUCUUGUUGCCUUUAUUUUUAAAAGCGUAGAAAAUUUUAUAUUUUCUUACGCUUGAAAAAGGCUUUAAAACUAGAGGGACCGCUGUUCUAUUCUCUUAAACCAGAGGAAGAUUGCGGCAAUAACAGGUCUGUGAUGCCCUCAGAUGUUCCGGGCUGCACACGUGCUACAAUGAUUGUUGCAGUGAGCAUCUAUUUUCAAACGCUACCGUUGCGGAUUUUGUGAGAAGGGGGGCUUGUUUUAAAGCUUUCGGGUGGAGAAGCGGGUUCUUUUUUUUUCACAAUUUAUUCCGCGUUACGUGUCAGCUAAACCUGCUUCGAAAGCAAGUAGGU